CCCCGCCCCCGGUUGCAGCGGCAUCCUUUGCCUUGUAAAGAACGAUUUUUUCGGAUCGCACGAAACCUAAACAAGGCAAAGAUAGAGCGGAAGACGGGAAAUGGC
rnacentral:sRNA from 1 species